UACUCUUAAGGCCUCAACCAAA
rnacentral:misc_RNA from 1 species